UACGAGGGGGGCGAGCGUUGUUCGGAAUUAUUGGGCGUAAAGGGUGCGUAGGCGGUUAUGUAAGACAGUUGUGAAAUCCCCGGGCUCAACCUGGGAAUUGCAUCUGUGACUGCAUAGCUAGAGUACGGUAGAGGGGGAUGGAAUUCCGCGUGUAGCAGUGAAAUGCGUAGAUAUGCGGAGGAACACCGAUGGCGAAGGCAAUCCCCUGGACCUGUACUGACGCUCAUGCACGAAAGCGUGGGGAGCAAACAGG
rnacentral:rRNA from 1 species